rnacentral:rRNA from 1 species
AUUGAACGCUGGCGGCAUGCCUUACACAUGCAAGUCGAACGGCAGCACGGGUGCUUGCACCUGGUGGCGAGUGGCGAACGGGUGAGUAAUACAUCGGAACAUGUCCUGUAGUGGGGGAUAGCCCGGCGAAAGCCGGAUUAAUACCGCAUACGAUCUACGGAUGAAAGCGGGGGCCCUUCGGGCCUCGCGCUUUAGGGUUGGCCGAUGGCUGAUUAGCUAGUUGGUGGGGUAAAGGCCUACCAAGGCGACGAUCAGUAGCUGGUCUGAGAGGACGACCAGCCACACUGGAACUGAGACACGGCCCAGACUCCUACGGGAGGCAGCAGUGGGGAAUUUUGGACAAUGGGCGAAAGCCUGAUCCAGCAAUGCCGCGUGUGUGAAGAAGGCCUUCGGGUUGUAAAGCACUUUUGUCCGGAAAGAAAUCCUUGGCCCUAAUACGGUCGGGGGAUGACGGUACCGGAAGAAUAAGCACCGGCUAACUACGUG